rnacentral:rRNA from 1 species
AGAGUUUGAUCAUGGCUCAGGAUAAACGCUGGCGGCGUGCUUCAGGCAUGCAAGUCGAACGGACCUUCGGGUCAGUGGCGGACGGGUGAGUAACACGUAAGCAACCUGCCCAAAAGUGGGGAAUAACCCACCGAAAGGUGAGCUAAUACCGCAUGUGAUGUGUCUUCUCUGGAGGACUCAUGAAAGGCUUCGGUCGCUUUUGGAGGGGCUUGCGUUCGAUUAGCUAGUUGGUGGGGUAACGGCCUACCAAGGCAACGAUCGAUAGCUGGUCUGAGAGGACGGUCAGCCACACGGGGACUGAGAUACGGCCCCGACUCCUACGGGAGGCAGCAGCUAGGAAUCUUGGGAAUGGGCGAAAGCCUGACCCAGCAACGCCGCGUGGGCGAUGAAGGCCUUAGGGUCGUAAAGCCCUUUUGUGGGGGACGAUGAUGACGGUACCCCACGAAUAAGCCACGGCUAACUACGUGCCAGCAGCCGCGGUAAUACGUAGGUGGCGAGCGUUGUCCGGAUUUACUGGGCGUAAAGGGCGCGCAGGCGGUCUGUUUAGUCUAGGGUGAAAGCUCCCGGCUCAACUGGGAGAGGUCCUUGGAUACUGGCAGACUCGAGGGAUGCAGAGGAAAGUGGAAUUCCCGGUGUAGUGGUGAUAUGCGUAGAUAUCGGGAGGAACACCGUGGCGAAGGCGGCUUUCUGGGCAUUACCUGACGCUGAGGCGCGAAAGCGUGGGGAGCGAACCGGAUUAGAUACCCUAGUAGUCC